GAUGAACGCUGGCGGCGUGCCUAAUACAUGCAAGGCGAGCGAACAGACGAGGAGCUUGCUCCUCUGACGUUAGCGGCGGACGGGUGAGUAACACGUGGAUAACCUACCUAUAAGACUGGGAUAACUUCGGGAAACCGGAGCUAAUACCGGAUAAUAUAUUGAACCGCAUGGUUCAAUAGUGAAAGACGGUUUGGCUGUCACUUAGAGAUGGAUCCGCGUCGCAUUAGCUAGUUGGUAAGGUAACGGCCUACCAAGGCAACGAUGCGUAGCCGAGCUGAGAGGAUGAUCGGCCACACUGGAACUGAGACACGGUCCAGACUCCUACGGGAGGCAGCAGUGGGGAAUCUUCCGCAAAGGGCGAAAGCCUGACGGAGCCACGCCGCGUGAGUGAUGAAGGUCUUCGGAUCGUAAAGCUCUUUUAUUAGGGAAGAACAAAUGUGUAUUUAUCUCUGCACGUCCUGACGGUACCUAAUCAGAAAGCCCCGGCUAACUUCGUG
rnacentral:rRNA from 1 species